rnacentral:rRNA from 1 species
UACGGAGGAUGCGAGCGUUAUCCGGAUUUAUUGGGUUUAAAGGGUGCGUAGGCGGGAUGCCAAGUCAGCGGUAAAAUGCGGUGCUCAACGCCGUCGAGCCGUUGAAACUGGCGUUCUUGAGUGGGCGAGAAGUAUGCGGAAUGCGUGGUGUAGCGGUGAAAUGCAUAGAUAUCACGCAGAACUCCGAUUGCGAAGGCAGCAUACCGGCGCCCUACUGACGCUGAGGCACGAAAGCGUGGGUAUCGAACAGG